CCACAGCUUGACCUUUUACCUUGCAAGUUGCAAGCACUCACUGUCUUCCUUGGUCCUCGUUCUGCUCAUUCUCAACUUCUCAACUCUUUCUCUUUCUCUUUCUCCGCCACCGGCAACCACCGUCAACCACCGCUUCCGCCGUCGCAGGCACUGCUACGUUGCUCCCCUGCGCCCUCGGCGUAGCAAUGUUCCCUGCAAGAUCACCUUCAUUUUCUCGCCUGAGUCACCACCAUUUAACGCUCUUGAUUCUCUCAGUUUCGCUCGUACUUCUACUUCAACCUCCGUCGUCACUCGCCAUUCGACUCGAUGAGUCGGAUCGGAUCGAACUGGUUGCCAACUCGACCGAGUCCAAUGUUACGCUCUCGAAACCCAGGGAAGGAAGCUUCGCGGAAAUGAUCGAUCGAGCUCUCGAGCACGAGUUCACCGAGAACGACCAGAACGAAGUGCCUGAUGCGGGGAGCUUCAACAACAGUGUGGCAGAGCAACAGGCUGUACUCGAAACUGUGGCCAGGGUCAAGCCAAAGAAGAACGAGACAAAGGAUGAAAAGUCAUUUCAACUCCAUCAUGUAUUUAAUUUGGAUAAUGAUAAUAGAGCUGAAGAUACCCCAAUGUUGAUAGACCGAAAGGAUAAUGUUUUCAUAAUAUCUAACUUUAAAUCCAAGUAUCCAGUGCUCCAGCUAGAUUUGCGAUUGAUUUCAGACCUAGUGGUCGCUAUAGUUUCGGCAACUUGUGGUGGCGUUGCAUUUGCUUUUGCGGGACAACCGGUUAUUACUGGAUAUCUUCUGGCUGGCUCCAUAGUUGGACCUGGUGGCUUUAACUUCAUUAGUGAAAUGGUGCAGGUGGAAACAGUGGCUCAAUUUGGUGUAAUAUUUCUUCUGUUUGCAUUGGGCCUGGAGUUCUCGGCAGCUAAGCUUCGUGUUGUUCGAGCUGUUGCUGUUCUAGGAGGGCUACUUCAAAUUUUUCUGUUUAUGUGCAUGUGUGGGCUUACUGUGUCGUUAUGUGGUGGUAAAGCCUCAGAAGGAGUUUUUGUUGGUGCUUUCCUUUCUAUGUCUUCAACAGCAGUGGUCUUGAAGUUUUUGAUGGACAAGAACACUACUAAUGCCCUUCAUGGACAAGUCACUAUUGGGACCCUUAUUUUGCAGGAUUGUGCUGUUGGAUUGCUUUUUGCAUUACUUCCUGUUCUGGGUGGCACGUCUGGUGUUUUCCAAGGAGUGUUAUCCAUGACAAAGCUGUUGGUGACUUUGAUUGCAUUUCUCUCCGUUCUGUCAAUAUUGUCUCGUACCUGCCUCCCAUGGUUGCUUAAACUGAUGAUAAGCUUGUCAUCCCAGACAAAUGAGCUCUAUCAGCUGGCGUCUGUUGCCUUCUGCUUGCUUGUAGCCUGGAGUAGUGAUAAGCUGGGGCUAAGUCUAGAGUUAGGCUCCUUUGCGGCUGGAGUGAUGAUUGCAACCACUGAUCUGGCUCAACAUACACUAGAGCAAAUUGAACCUAUUCGCAAUCUUUUUGCUGCUCUUUUCCUAGCCAGCAUUGGAAUGUUGAUUCAUGUUCAUUUUCUCUGGAACCAUGUUGACAUUCUGGGUAAACUAUAUUUGCUGCUUCUUGGGACCACAGCUCUUAGUCUGGUACGAAACAUUUUUAUAUAUUUGAAUUAACAGCUACAGGGAUCCGUAACUGAUCCAUAAUUGGGGGUUAUAGUCUUGCAGAUUUUGAAAUGCUUGAACAUGGCAAUAUACACAUAUAGCUGAUAAACUUGGUGCAAAGAAAUGGAUAGGACAAUAAAAACUUCUCUGUCUUUCAAAGAGAUUGUUCUUUCAUUAAAAAGAAAGUUUGAAUUGAAUGUCAAUGUUAGACAAGCUUUGAUGUGGGAAAAAAUUAUCUAUUCUGCAAUAUUGAAGUUUACCAAGAUCAAGUAUUUAAGUCUGAAAAGCUUGAAGUAUAUCAUAAGCUGCCAUCAGUUUCAAUGCUUUGAAUUCAGUGAUACUGCUAUUAAUUUAUUAUGAAUGCAUAAUCCCAUCAAUAAUUUCUCAGCUAAUUUCUGCAGGUAACAACUCCUUUACUUUUCAAGCUAAUUCCUGCAGUAGUGCAUCUCGGUGUGCUAUUGAGGUGGUUCUCUCCUGACAGUUCACUGGAGAUCGGAUAUAGUAAGGUAGACAUCCUCCGCUCAGAAAGUGGGAAGCAGCGAAUAAUUUUGAUGGACCAAGAAUCUCAUGAUUCUUGAUAAGUGCUUUUUUUUUUUUUGCAAGACGUUAAGUUUUGCUGGGUUCUCCAAGGUGGUGUUGAUAAGAAUUUCACCUAACUGCAGUUUUUCAGAAUCAUCCAAACCUAAUCCACAAUCAAUUCUUGCAUACCAAACUAACCAAAUACUAACCAUCAUCCAAACCCUCACAAGUGGAAUGAACAGGGGAGAGGACCAAAAAUCAACUAACAAGACGUACAGAUGAAGCCGUUUGGAAAUAUAUUCGUUACAUUGCUCCACUUACAUUCAUUUUUUUCCCACCCUUUUUUUUUUUGGCUCAUAAAUGUAUGAUAUGGUUCAAUGAGUAACCAUUCCCCUCCUUCCUUUAAUUGUAGUUUGAAUGUAUUCAAUAUUUCUGUUCUAGCAUCUGUGGCUGGGCUUUGUAUAUCUAACUAUCUAAGGCAGUUCCCGUUUUGUUUUGUUUUUCAAUGGUAUUUUUGAGAUGUGUUUUGUGUAAUUGUGUUGUAUAAAUUAAAAUGAUAUCUCGCUUAUAGGAGCAUUCUUAUUGCCAUGUCAAAUACUCCAUGACGUAUUACG